rnacentral:rRNA from 1 species
CCUACGGGUGACAGCAGUGGGGAAUAUUUCGCAAUGGGCGAAAGCCUGACGCAGCGACGCCGCGUGAGGGAUGAAGGUCUUCGGAUCGUAAACCUCUGUCAGCAGGGAAGAACGGUCACUGUGCUAAUCAGCAGUGAAUUGACGGUACCUGCAAAGACAGCACCGGCUAACUCCGUGCCAGCAGCCGCGUUAAUACGGAGGGUGCGGGCGUUAAUCGGAAUUACUGGGCGUAAAGCGCUCGUAUGCGGUAUGUCAAGUCAAGGGUGAAAUCCCCGCGCUCAACGUGGGAACUGCCUUUGAAACUGGAAAAGUGGAGUGUGUGAGAGGAUAGUGGAAUUCAGGGUGUAGGAGUGAAGUCCGGAGAUAUGUGGAGGAACAUCAGUGGCGAAGGCGACUAUCUGGCACAUAACUGACGCUGAGGAGCGAAAGCGUGGGUAGCAAACAGGAUUAGAUACCCUGGUAGUC